UAUUGCACAAUGGGGGAAACCCUGAUGCAGCAACGCCGCGUGAGUGAAGAAGUAUUUCGGUAUGUAAAGCUCUAUCAGCAGGGAAGAAAGAAAUGACGGUACCUGACUAAGAAGCCCCGGCUAACUACGUGCAGCAGCCGCGGUAAUACGUAGGGGGCAAGCGUUAUCCGGAUUUACUGGGUGUAAAGGGAGCGUAGACGGUUAUGCAAGUCUGGAGUGAAAGCCCGGGGCUCAACCCCGGGACUGCUUUGGAAACUGUAAAACUGGAGUGCAGGAGAGGCAGGCGGAAUUCCUAGUGUAGCGGUGAAAUGCGUAGAUAUUAGGAGGAACACCGGUGGCGAAGGCGGCUUACUGGACAGUAACUGACACUGAGGCCCGAAAGCGUGGGGAGCAAACAG
rnacentral:rRNA from 1 species